AUGGUUCGUAGUAAACGUAAUGGGUCGUUAGCUCAGUUGGUAGAGCAGUUGACUUUUAAUCAAUUGGUCGCAG
rnacentral:tRNA from 1 species